rnacentral:rRNA from 1 species
UACGGGGGGGGCAAGCGUUGUUCGGAAUUACUGGGCGUAAAGGGUUUGUAGGUGGCCCGCUAAGUCACACGUGAAAUCCCUCAGCUUAACUGGGGAACUGCGUGUGAGACUGGCAGGCUCGAGGGCAGGAGAGGAACGCGGAAUUCCAGGUGUAGCGGUGAAAUGCGUAGAUAUCGAGAGGAACACCUGCGGCGAAGGCGGGUUGCUGGGCUGACACUGACGCUGAUGCGCGAAAGCCAGGGGAGCGAACGGG